GUAAGACGGGGCCAAGGAGGCAGGUGGGAGGGCCGCUGCCGAGGGACGAGGCAGGGGACAGCCCCGGCUAAGCUGGUAGCCAUGGAGACGGAGGCGGGGCUGGAUCCCAGAAAUCCCGGAGGAAGAAGCCACAGGACUCAGUGCUUCAUUAAGCUCAUGAAGUUGGGGCAAAAAAGAGUGAGCGCUUAUCUGAGCCCAUGAUUGUUUCCCACAUUCGAGAAUUCAUGCGUUUAGAGAGAAAUGGAGUUCAGAUAUUUCUGGUGAAUCAUGACAUGAUGACUUGAGUCUAUAAAAGUGCGUAACUCAGUUUAACCAGCCGCAGCCCUCUGGCUCCUGGUUCAGAACUCAAUCUGCAGCACCUUAAACGUGAGGAAAACGACAGCUUCAGGGACCCUGGACGGAGCAUCGGGUGUGUCCCGCUGUGAGUGGUUGGCUGGUGUCCCUGACAUCAGACACAAAGAAGAAAAAAGGGGACUGAGAGAAAAGAAGUGCUAGAAUAUAAUAGAGGGAGAACUACAGAAGGGAAGGGGCAAGAAAGGCAAACGUGGAGAGGAAGCGAGAGGUAGCCAGGUGCGCGUGGCCCCAAAGGUGCCGAAGGGGAGGCAUCUGGGGCGAGAGGACGCAGAGCCGGGAGGCUGAGGACAAAGGCUGGACUUGGGCCCAGUGCGUUAGUGAGCAGUGAGGAAGGAGAGCCUACUUCCAGAUGGUAGGGGACAGGCAAGGGGACCCCAGAGGUACAUCCAGCCUAGACCAGGCCAUUCUCCUAGACCUGCUGCCUGAAGGACUUCAGCAGUUCCUUGGAGAGAAAAACUGACAUUUGUAGAACUUUUGCCCAUAACUUCGCAGGGUAAGUCCUGGCAGCGCUCUUUGCAGAGGGGGCUUCAGACAUCCCCAACAGACUCCUCUGCUGGCAUCGUGGAGGCCCAAGGAAUGACCCAGCCCUCUUCUGUGUCCUUAUCUGCAGGCAGCUGACCUGGGUGGAUCCUACCCCAGUCAAGAAUCUAGAUCUAGAUUGGGAACAGUCAGGGAAACUGCCUGUCCCCGAAGGUUCAGUGAGCCUCAUGUAGUUCACGUCACCUUGCGAGCCUCACAACAGCCCUAGGAGGCAGGGGUGGAGGGAGUGUCUGCACACACCAAUGAGAAAUGGCAGGCAAGGUUGGCUCAUGCCCUGCAAAGCGGGGGCUGCCGUCACAGCCCUCUCCAAGCGGCUCUGCCCGUCACAGGACUGGGUCCCGGCCUGUCAAGUUCAGACCCACCCUUUGGCACAGGUCCCGUUAGCCAGGCUCUCAGGCCGAGUGUGCAAAGCCGGGAUGCUGACAUGCUCAUCUUCAGCAUGACUCAGUUUCCAGGGGCCAGAGCCCACCCACCAUGCACAGCUGGCCCUUUCUCCCUGUGGUCGAACUACUUGGGAGCUGAUUCAUAGUCAGAAGGCUACUUUAUAAACAUUGAAUGAGUACUGUAACCAUUGUGGGGAGCAGAACCCGCAUGGCCAGCCCCAUAGGGCUUUCUGGUUACUUGGGUCAGAUACUGUCAUGUAAGACCAGGAGCCGUUCCUAUGAGCCCUUUAGAAAAAUGCUUUGUGGAGUUCCCAUUGGGGCUCAGUGGUAACAAACCUGACUAGUAUCCAUGAGGACACAGGUUUGAUCCCUGGCCUUGCUCAGUGGGUUAAGGAUCCAGCAUUGCUGUGAGCUGUGAUAUAGGUCACAGACGUGGCUGGAUCCCACGUUGCUGUGGCUGUGGCUGUGGCCAGCAGCUGCAGCUCGGAUUCAACCCCUAACCUGGGAACUUUCAUAUGCCAUGGGUGUGGCCCUAAAAAGCAAAGAAAAAAAAUGCUUUGUUAGAAGAGCCUAAUAAUUUUAAAUAAUACAUUUAAAGUUAAUUUUAAAACACACGUCCUUUCUCAUUCUGUGCAUUUAUCUAAGUAUUUAAAAACCUAUUUCAACAAAAGAAAAAGACUGUUUGACAUGUUCUUUUGGAAAGUGCCUUUCCAGCAGGAAAGUCUCAGCAACAGAAUCUCCAGGGCAUCCAGGCGUACUUUGGCCUGUCCUGGAUUACUGCCAGGAGAUUGAACCACAGGGGCAGUGCACACAGGCCUUCUAAUGUGAAGGUGACUUGGACCUAAGCCAGGGGAAAGUGAUCUUUGGCUGCGGUUUGAUGUUUGUCUGACCAAGAGGGGUCACCUCGUUUCUGCCCAUAAUUGUCAACCUGCAGCCCUGCUUCAAAAAUACUUUUCUUCAAUACCCAGAAAAGCCACAAGCAAUUACUUGGUGAAAGCCUGCUUCUGUUUGUCUCAGUCUGCCCACAAACGCGCCUCUUUAGCUGGCUGUGUCUCCCUUGUGUGUGUGGCUUCUGGCUUCGUGUCUCUGGGGACCGUGUGCUCAUCUCCGUUCUUACUGCCUUUUUGCCUUCCUGAAGGCUGUCUAUCUGUCUCUCUCAGGUUUAUGUUUCCAGCUCAGGCAUCUCCUCAGAGCUCCAGACUUGCCCUUGCUCUCCGGGCAUCUCCCCUGGGGGAGCUCAGAGCCGCCCCCCCAUCAGCGUUCCCCUGGGACCCCCACCUCACUAAGUGCUAGCACCACCUGUUGGUUGCACAAGGCAAGCACCUGAUGGUCACAUUUAGUUCCUUCCUCCCCCAUUCUUCCCUAAACGCCACCAGGCUCUGUACAUUUUCUUCCUAGGUGGGUGCUCUCGCGUGGCCUGCUGGAAGCUACCCUCAUCUCUCACCUUGCCUGGGCGGGGGCUCGCCAUCCAUUCCUCUCCCCAUCCAGUGAAAUCCCCGACAGAAUCUGAUCACACUGCCUCCUUAAAGGUGCUUUCCUGCUGGUGGCUCCUAGGAAGGAGGGCAGCAUCCUUCACCUGGCCCACAAGCUUCACACCCCACCCACCUCCAGCUCUGCGGUACCACACGCCCCACUGCCCAGGCUCCAGCCCCGAGGGCCUCCUCUCAGCUCCUGGAAAAGGCCUCAGUCUUCUCCACAAACUCCUGCCCACCUCUCGGGACUCCGGGGAGGUUCCUGGGGAAGCACCACCCCCCAUGGCUUUCUGUGCGUGGCCUUCACAGCUCUGACGGGGUCAUCCCUCUGCAGGCUCAUUCAGUGAGAGUCGCUGCCCCGGGGACAUGCAGGCUCCAAGAGAGCAGCCCUGUCUCUCCCGCACCGUGCGUUCCCAGUGACCUGAACCUCGCCUGGCCUGCAGCUGCUCCGUCAGCAGGGACUGAAGCAGGGAGGGAGGGAGGAGAAAAAGAGAACUGGAUAUUCCUCCGCCUGUAUUUGCCUUCAUCUCUCCAUGUUACCUUUUUCUCUUAAAAAAAAAAAGGUCAUUACUUUUUUAGCUCAGUGACUAGGUUAGUGUUCUCAACCUGAAUAAAAAAGUUUCCUUCCAGGAGUUCACUUGUGGCCCAGUGGGUUAAGGAGCUGGUGGUGUUACUGCUGUGGCUCUGGUUGCGGCUGUGGUACAAAUUCUACCCCUGGCCCAGGAACGUCCACAUGCCGUGGGCACGGCCAAAAAAAAAGAAAAAA
rnacentral:lncRNA from 1 species